AUCCUUUUCCAUGGCCUGGAUCCUAUAGAGAGAUUCUUGAUGAGUUCAAAAGAUUGUGCCCCAACACAGUAACAGAUGACAUUGAGGAACUAAUGGGAGAAAGCCUAAGGAAGUACCGAAAGGCAGUACUGAAAGUAAACACUGGAAAGUAAAAACCAACCUUCCUGAAAGAAAUAGAACAUACUUCGGCCCAAUACAGAACUGAAAGUCAGAGAAAUUAUGCUGAUGACUGCAUAGCUAUAAUAGGAUUAUUUCUAUUGUGCAAAGAGAACCCUGAAAAAAUUCUUUUUUCAAGAGGACCGACUGCAUGCACCCCCAUGGCAAUAAGAAUUAAAAUUAAUCAGAACAUUUUGUCCAUGGACAAUGAAGCAUUUGAAAUAUUAUUGGAAAAUGAAAGCGUAUUCAAAUGUGAGAAUUUUUUCCAAGCUUUUUGUGGGUUAAUUGCUACAUUUUAUGUAUUUAACAUUGCAUACCCAAAACCUGUUGAGAAAACAUUCAUGUUUUUUCAACAGGUAAUGAUAGGGUUGAAAGAUGAGGGAGGACAUCCCAACAUGGAUCAAAGAAUUUUAGGGGUUUUGACAAACAUCAACAGAGAGUUGAAAAACAUUUAAGUUCGAAUGAUUUGUU